GACGAACGCUGGCGGCGUGCUUAACACAUGCAAGUCGAACGGAAAGGCCCUGCUUUUGUGGGGUGCUCGAGUGGCGAACGGGUGAGUAACACGUGAGUAACCUGCCCUUGACUUUGGGAUAACUUCAGGAAACUGGGGCUAAUACCGGAUAGGAGCUCCUGCUGCAUGGUGGUGGUUGGAAAGUUUCGGCGGUUGGGGAUGGACUCGCGGCUUAUCAGCUUGUUGGUGGGGUAGUGGCUUACCAAGGCUUUGACGGGUAGCCGGCCUGAGGGGGUGACCGGCUACAUGGGGACAGAGAACCGGGCCACACCUCCAGGGGGGCCGGCGGGGGGGAUUAAUGAAAAUGAGGGGGAAGCUUGUGGAGGGGACGCCCGGGGGGGAGGGGGGGCCUUGGGGGUGUAACCGGCUUCCCCCGGUGAAAAAGCGGUGGGGAGGGUAAUGGGGAAAGAAGCACGGUAGAACUAUGU
rnacentral:rRNA from 1 species